CAUUUAAUUUGUAAUCAUAACAAAAACCGUUUGUCUGCCACUUUUUGUCUCCAACCUAAUCAUAAACCUUUUACGUUCAUCAGCUGCAUAACGGCGGCGUGGACAUUCCUCACCUUCUCCAAUUCCAUUAAAAAGAAGAGCCUACAGCCCAACCGAUAGGACAGAGCUUUUCCACUAUCGAAAAAAUCUGGAGGAGAUAACACGAACGUAAAGCAUUGUUACAAGUUUUUCCGGUUGAGGAUCUUCAAAACAAAAUGGUCUUGGUUCGUCAUCCCCAUCUCGUUACAGUCAAGAAGAACAACUAAAAUAAAACGUAUGCGCACAGCUAAAAUAGCUAAUGAAAUAAAUGUUAAGGAGUGAAAAAUAAGGAAACAAGGCGAUAAACAAUUUUGAUUUAAAUCAAAAACUAAGCUACGGUUAGAGCAUCAGCAUUAACAUCACCUACCAUUUCCAGCUCAUCAGACUAACGAGAAGGUAAAGACAUAAAGAAGAAGAUAAUCGAAGAGUUAGUUAAGCAGCUAAGAACAGUCGAAGACACCACUGCCAAAAAAAGAUCCAAAUCGAGAUGAAAGAUUUAUGUAAGUAGGUAGCACAAUACAAUUAUCAUAACUCAUACUAAAACACCACAAACAAUUUAUCAAUUUUUCAAAAAUAUUUCGUAUCAUAAUCAACAAUAGUGGCACAGCGUUACCGGGAAAACACCAAGCCGUUCAACUGUGGAUUUUUGCUAUGUUCGUGUAAAUCAUAAAUAUAUAAAACAAAUUGUUUAGCUUAUAUCCACAUUAAAUUUCCCAUAUUGUAUUCUUUUUUUUGAAAAAGAAUUAUUUUAAUCGUUAGAUACGUAGACUUCUUGGUUUGUUCA